rnacentral:rRNA from 1 species
GAUGAACGCUGGCGGCGUGCUUAACACAUGCAAGUCGAACGAAACACCUUAUUUGAUUUUCUUCGGAACUGAAGAUUUGGUGAUUGAGUGGCGGACGGGUGAGUAACGCGUGGGUAACCUGCCCUGUACAGGGGGAUAACAGUCAGAAAUGACUGCUAAUACCGCAUAAUACCACAGCACCGCAUGGUGCAGGGGUAAAAACUCCGGUGGUACAGGAUGGACCCGCGUCUGAUUAGCUGGUUGGUGAGGUAACGGCUCACCAAGGCGACGAUCAGUAGCCGGCUUGAGAGAGUGAACGGCCACACUGGGACUGAGACACGGCCCAAACUCCUACGGGAGGCAGCAGUGGGGAAUAUUGCACAAUGGGGGAAAGCCUGAUGCAGCGACGCCGCGUGAGUGAAGAAGUAUUUAGGUAUGUAAAGCUCUAUCAGCAGGGAAGAAAAUGACGGUACCGGACUAAGAAGCCCCGGCUAACUACGUG